CCAAUAGCGUAUAUUAAAGUUGUUGCAGUUAAAAAGCUCGUAGUUGAAUUUCGGGAUCAGUACGUUGGUCAUGCCUUGGUAUGUACUGGUGUAACUGAUUCCUCCCUUCUGACGAACCGUCAUGCCAUUCACUUGGUGUGGCGGGAAAUCAGGACUGUUACUUUGAAAAAAUUAGAGUGUUUAAAGCAGGCUCGCGCUUGAAUACAUUAGCUUGGAAUAAUGAAAUAGGACGUUAAUCCUAUUUUGUUGGUGUCUAGGAUCGACGUAAUGAUUAAUAGGGAUAGUUGGGGGCAUUAGUAUUCAAUUGUCAGAGGUGAAAUUCUUGGAUUUAUUGAAGACUAACUACUGCGAAAGCAUUGGCCAAGGAUGUUUUCAUUAAUCAAGAACGAAAGUUAGGGGAUCGAAGACGAUCAGAUACCGUCGUAGUCUUAACCAUAAACUAUGCCGACUAGGGAUCGGAUGAUGUUAAUUUUUUAAUGACUCAUUCGGCGCCUUACG
rnacentral:misc_RNA from 1 species